AUGGGCGCCUUAAUCAUGCAUGCUGUCAUCUCCCAAUGGACCAGAAAUUUGUUUCUUAUGUGGUACAGCAUCUUGGUGUUGACUGCGAUAGUACGAUAUUUUGGAGAAACGGUUUCAAAGAAGAUUAUCCUUCUCUUACUAUGUUUCUUCAUCGGCUGUGGCCAGUUGAUUUCUUUUCUCAAUCAUGUGAACACUUCUUUGGAAAUCAAUUUAGUUUUAAUGCUAGUGUUGAUGAGAUUCAUAAAGUUGCAUCAUCUCUGGUUUCUGAACGUCCUUCGAGUAAUCAAUCAACCUAUUUGGCUGGCUGUAUAUACUAUGAUUUGUCAGAAAGACUUCUGUCAAGAGGACAAGUUCUCUAGGCCAUUUCAUAUGGAAGAGAAGCCUUCCAAUUUGCGCAAAAAGCUCCUGAAAAAGAAGUUCAAAUUUAAAUUGGGCAAGUCUAUAAGUGGGGAAAGCCAAUGUUCACUUGAAGCAUGGGGACCAACGAUGGUUGAAAUCUGGCCAGAUUGCACCAGGCCAAGCAGCAUGAGAGAUUCUUUCCUUACCCCAUGGAAUGUACUUAUAUGCUAUUUCGAGGGCAUAUUACAGGUUGUUGUGAUGCAUGAAUUGGUUGGCGAUGGUGUUGAAGCAGAAGUUUUAUUACGGACAGGAAAGGAGAUAUCAUGUUUCCAAGGAUUACCAAUUUUUGCUGUUGUCUUUACAUUGGAGUUAGGUCAACUGUACCGCAAGAGAUAG
rnacentral:rRNA from 1 species